CAGUCAAAUUCCUCCCAGAGGUCUGUCUAA
rnacentral:piRNA from 1 species